rnacentral:rRNA from 1 species
CCUACGGGAGGCAGCAGUGGGGAAUAUUGGGCAAUGGGGGAAACCCUGACCCAGCGACGCCGCGUGGGGGAAGAAGGCCCUUGGGUUGUAAACCUCUUUUGCGCGGGAAGAAGAAGAUGACGGUACCGAGCGAAUAAGUCCCGGCUAACUACGUGCCAGCAGCCGCGGUAAUACGUAGGGGACGAGCGUUGUCCGGAAUUACUGGGCGUAAAGGGCGCGCAGGCUGCGCGUCGAGUCGGCUGUUAAAGAUCCGGGCUUAACCCGGUGAUGCGGUCGAGACCGGCGUGCUGGAGUGCUGUAGAGGCAAGUGGAAUUCCCGGUGUAGCGGUGAAAUGCGUAGAUAUCGGGAAGAACACCGGUGGCGAAGGCGACUUGCUGGGCAGCAACUGACGCUGAGGCGCGAAAGCCAGGGGAGCAAACGGGAUUAGCUACCCCGGUAGUCCUGGCCGUAAACGAUGAAUGCUAGGUGUGGGUGUAGAGAUACAUUCGCGCCGGAGCU